CGGAUCCGCCCUCAGGUCGCUAGAUCCGCCCUACUGUCGCACUCGGUUUGCUCAUGUGAUCCGGAUCCGCCCCGGAUCCGGAUCAAACAGCAUCUGGAUCACGCAGCGGUGUUAACUUUGCCCCAGGCGGAUGUUCCAAAUCGUGCUCCUCCUACUUCUGCGCCUCGACUUUCCAAACUGGUAUUUUCAAACCUGCAGCUCUUCGCGCCAGACGUACUACUUAGUUUUACAGAAGUGUUCAUCAGGAUCGAUCUCUACAAUUCAGGUAAGCACACAUUUUUUUACAGUAGCAGUCGUGCCACAAAGCUGGUACGGUGGUAGUUUCUGCGUUUGGCCAAAUUACCCGAGGGACGAAAGGGUGGACAAGGCUGUCCGAGGUGCCGAAGAACCUCAACCUGACUGGCAGACACAUGAUAUGAUUACUUGGUGGCAAGGCGAUGGUUAAAAAAGUAUGUCCUGUGACACAUCCGAUCUCCAUUCAGAAGAGGAGGCAAUUCCUAAAAGGAGAAAGCCAAUGCCUGUGUGAGUAAAUGUGUAUACAUUUUAUUCUUUAGAACUCUUUUACCUUAAUAAAAUAAAG